rnacentral:lncRNA from 1 species
CAUAAGUCUGCCUCUUUUCUCUGAUCCCUUCUCCCCUCUGUCUACAAACCCUUCCUGAUGCCCGGGUCAUGCAAUUAAAUACUAUUUUUAAAACCAAGUUUUAUCUACGCUCCCUGUGGGUUAUCUCAGCUCCUACAGAGGCUCAGGAAACUGUGACAGCACAAUCGUCACACUGACUUGACAGGAGGCAGCCUGGGAAGUCAUGAUGGAUGAGGCUGCUCUCUUCCUGGCCUGGCCCCUCUUGGGGGUUCAGUGCUCGUCUCUGAAGUCACUGAGGUUUUUGUUGCAGUUUCCCUACGGUAUAGAGCGUGCCCUACAUCGCAGGGCUGGGCUAAGACGGAUUUCUGGCUUUCUUUUCUCAAAAAAUCAUGCUCAUUCAGGCACUGGCGAAUAUAGGUUCUGGUACUGAAGAUGAGCUGUCUGUUAAACUCUGAAUAGGGCUAUUCUCUCUGCAAUUAGAGACUUUUGGCUCAAACAAGAUCUUUUCUGGGAAGCCAUAAGCCUGUAUUCUGAUAUUUCAACAUUUCACCCUUCAUCCUCCCCACCAGCCCUCACUAGGGUUCAUAUCAUCCUAGAAAUGGAACACCACCACAAAGCAGUCACCCACAUGGAUUCUCCCACUUUGCAGGCUUACGAUAAUGAAGUCAAACACACAUACACAGGCUCCAAAUACCUUUGGUAGAGCUUUACACCCAUAUGUGUGAAGGGCCAUUUCCAAACGGAAUAAUAACUGGAAGGCACGACUAAACCACUAGAAUAAAAUCCCCCUUUGGAUUAGGUAUCAGCAAAGUAAAUUAGUAACAUCUGAGCGCCUGUUAAGACUAGAGAUUCGCCGUUUGCUGGGACUGGCAUUUAUUUCAUUAUUGAAAAGGAAGGGAAAAAACAGAAGGAAUCAAGUCAGCUGUACUGAGUGUCGAUGACACAUGUGCCUCCCAUUUUUGAAGCUCUUCUCCCUGGCGCCUCAGUGUACUGUCUGAGCUGCCCCUGGGCUACAACCGUGAUUAAGAGGAGAGGUCUCUCUUUUGAAGGGGUUGGUGGUCUCUUGAGCUGAGGAAGUGGAACACGGGUUGACGAGCCUGGCUGAUGGAAAACUGGAGGGCAUGCUGUGGGCUUCUCCCCUGCCACCUUCCCCGCUCUUGACGUCUUCUGGAAAUUGCCACCUUUAGGAGUCUGAGGAGCCAGGCAUCCUCGAGGGCAGGCUUCCUGUGUGGAGAGCCUUGUGGCUGAGGUCUGACCACACCACAAACCCACUGCUGCUCAUCAGUGUGGGCCAAGGAUGGAAGAGAAGCCAUGGUGCAGAGAGGGGUGUGGGUCAGGGGCUGAGGAUGCCUCCGGCCUUUCCUAAAAAGGAGGGAGCUGGACUUGCUUUUCCCUGAGACAUCUUCUGGUUGCGCCUCAGUCUACCCUGCGUUUGUCAUUUAGAUGGGGAGCUCCCCCACCAUCUCAUUCGGCAUGGGGUUUACAGGUCUAACAGGCCACGGUUUUAUGAGCUGCCUUGUGAAUAUUAAAAGUCGCAUUUCUUUUUCUGUUUCUUUGGAUUGCUUGAAUUUUUUAAGGUUGAGCAGUUUUUUAAAUAGCAAAGUGUAAAGUCCUAAGUCUUCUUAGAGGCUGUCAUUCUCCUGUGAUUUCAGCUCCCUAGCCUCCUUCGUGACUUUGAUCACCAAGUCCCCCGUUACGUUGGAAGAUUAAAGGCAUGUGGACGUCCGGGGGAGGGCAGCCUGGAGGUGACAUUCAAAAGCUCGAUUAGUCUUCUGCGGAUCAGUUGUCUACAGGCUUCCAGAAUAGCCCUCCAGACUACAUUUUAGGACAGGGCUGCCAGCAGCUGCUGUCUUGACCUGACCAGGAAGUUGCUGCUCCCCUCUGACUCCAGGACCACCCACCCCUGCCAUGGUCUGCACCAGCAAAAUGGACACCUUGCAUCCUACCCCUCUUCCCACGCAACUCAGAGCCUCGGUCUCCUCAUUUAUAAACUGAGUGGCAUCCACCUCCAGGUCAUAUGUAAUACAUUUCACAGCUGGUGUGUCAUAGGCACAGGCCAGUGAGGAUGGCCGUAGAUUGUAAAUCGCUCAUUAGGACUUACUGGUGCCAACCAGCUGAAUACCAACCCUCCUGGCAGUAUCACCAGAAAUGCCAAGUGGCAAGGGUUAUCUGGAUGGUCCUAGGUGCAUAGAGCAUGAGUGGUUUGACUGAGAUUACACAGGCCAGUGGUUAGAAUGUGGUGAGAAUUCCAUGAACACCCCCAAGACCUUUAAAGGAGAGAGAAUGCUCUUGCAGAUUUGGAGGAGAAACCCAGGAUGCAUCUGGACCAUCCACCUGAGUGCAAUGCUCCCACACAAGGAGGACGGCUGGGCAAGGAGCUGAGCGCUCAGUCAAGGAUGAUGCUGCUCCAUUGCUCCCCUCUUGUUCUGGUGAAACAGGUGGACGGAUUUGAGCCUGAGAAGUAACAAGCAAGGAGAAUAACUGGGAGCAUUAGGCUUUGGGGUGCCCUCUGCUUGAGCAUGACGGGCACUCAUCCUGUCUGAGGCAAAGGUGUGGACAGGAUGAAACAUGCCAGAGACUGGAGUCCGGAACCUUGAAAGUUUAAUGAGGACAGUUAGUGGAGUGACGCUAUGAUUAAUCACGUCAAAAGCAUCACGUAAAUCAAGCUGGAUGGUGGUGGACAACGACUAUUUAAUUUUGAUACUAAAAGGUCAUUUGGAACGCUUACUAGUGCGCUGUCAGGAGGGGCUGGCUUCUAAAUCCAGGUGGAUAAAGGUCCAUUAGGUCCCUGAGUGGAGGACUUAAGAUCCGAGCCAACUAGACAGGCCUGAUGCACCUGAACACAGGAGAAAAGGCAAAAGGAGACAUUUCAAAGUGAAACCGAGUCACUGAGGGUUUUACACUUUUUUAAUUUUUAAUUUUUUAAAUCUCUCCUCACUUGAGGUCCUAGAAAAAUGAUAUUAAGAAGGGCAGUAACUGAAUACAAGGCCGUCAGAGGAACUAUUGCUGUCAUGUUUUGUGAGCAAAGGAACAUGUUAUGUAAGCAGAUUAUGAGGGCUAUGCACAGAGAGGAGAGUUCAAUAUUUUCAGAAAGUCAAGCUCACAACUGAAUGUCUCUGAUGCGCAUUUAAGGAAGAGCAUAACCAAGGGAUAUUAGAGCGAUGGAGGACCUGGACGAUUGUCUGGUCCAUCCUCCUCACUGGCACCGAUGAGGACAAUUACGCAGAGAUGAUGCCCAUGGGCCGAGUUUGCGCAGCAACAAAUGGCGGGGCAGGGAUGAGCGUGGGGCUGCUGGCUCUCUCCAGGCGCAUCCACUCCAUCCAACCUUAGGUGGGGCGGGAGCCCCAGCUGUGAACAUACAUUUCACUUGACUGCAUGGCCACCAGACAAAGACUUUGCAAGGCAUCUGGCAGAGGGAAUCGGACCGAGCCAGAGCUGCUCAGGAGAUCCUGAAAGGCCGCGAUGUGGAAGCCAAAGGGCAGAGGCUCCCUCCUCUCUGGGAAGCAGCGUCUAGAGCCCAGGCCCCCUGGCUGCCCGCCCUUGGCUCUCACCUGCCUGGGGGCGCUCAGCUUGGAGCCAGCCUGGCUGGGGGGGGCGGGCAGAAGGGUGGGUGCUCACGAGGUGCGGGAGGGAAGGGACACCCUGCUUCAGAUGCCCCAGUCAGCGCCGUCCUCCUGGUGACUCCUUAAUUUCACCAUUUAAACACAGCUCCUUUUUCUCUCCUUUCUUACCUUUUUUUGAAUGGGUUGUCUUUCUUUGCUUGCUUGCUCGCUUUUCUUAUUCCAUUUCCCCCUCUUUCCU